GUUUGAAUUGGUUCAAAAUCCUCAUGGCUCACCAUUUGCCUAUGGGCCUUCACAACUUCAAAACCCAGUUCGUUGGUUGGUUCAACUUUCAUUAUCUAUCCAUAGGCCCACAACAUGAAAUGACCAUUCCAUUCCUCUACUCUAAAGGCUUAAAACCAGAAAAUUGGGGGUAGAAAAGACAUUACAACAAUCCGGAGUCCAACUGUAAAAUAUCCCCUGUACUUCGAAAGCCCGCCAAGUCCUCACGUCCAUUCCUCAACCACCUUAAGAAAAAAGUGCACCAAAAAGCACAUAAAUGCCCACAAUUGACCCUUCUUCUCUCUCUACCACACGCUCCACGUGCACAACCUUAUCCACUUCUCUCCAUACCUUUUAUCCUCUGCAUCGCUCCUCACGUUUCUCACCUAAAGCUUCCCUUCUAUUAUUGUGCUUUAUUCCAAUUGUACCCUGAUCAAGGAUCUGAAUUCUCAUUUGUACCUCCGCGUACAGUGCACCGGACCACGAUUUCACAGCGUUUGCACAAACAAGGUUUGUAGACGAUAGAAACCCUUUAGCCCUAGCUUUUAUCCAAAACAUGGUGCGCUACCCUCUGGUCUGGUUACAUUUUCUCUUGCUAAAAUUCUCUCAUUUUCUGCUCAUUCACUCGCUAUCUCCUCAAUGGCCUCUAUUAUCACGUUCAAUUGCUCUCUCGCUGCUCCAACCCGGGCCUCUUCCGGAUCCACCAGAAAACCAGAACCUAGUCUCAGGAGACCCGCUUCUUCCACCUGGUGGGCCCCUCUUUUCGGCUGGUCCUCAGAUCCCGACUACGUUAACACCACCUCCAGCAGCGGUGCUUCCAGCAUUGAUGUAUCAGAUAAACAAUCCGCUAUAUCGAAGUUCGAUUCUGAAUCGGAUCGACCAAGACCCAGGUUUACUUUGGGUUGCUUCACAGAAGAUAAAGCCAGGCAGCUUAGAAAGAAGACAAUGGAGAAUAGUUCGUUUCAUGAUAUAAUGUACCACUCAGCGAUCGCCUCUCGUCUGGCGUCCGAUACAUCUGGCCGGUCCGAUAAGUAAACCGAAGCUACGGAGUCCGGCAAGUUCCCGAAUUUUAGGGGCCGAAAAUUUGUCGAAACUUCGAAUCAUAUUUGUGGUAUGAUUUUUUUUUUAACUUUUUAAUUUUGGCUUUUCUCGUGUGGACCUGAGAACACUUGUUUACACUGUGUACUAUCAUUGUAAACCGUCGGUGGUCGUCUAUGAACGGCCAUUUGUUGGCAUUCUCUGCAUCUAUGGUCAUCUAGUUAUUCUUCUGAUGGCAAUCUGAAAUGAUAUUGUUGCUAAGUGUUUUCCAUCAAUUUAAAGGGACCUACGUAUCUGGCGACAUGGCAAUACAUGGUACGUUGAUGAUCAUGCGAUGUCAUCACGUAGCCAUGAUGAAGGGUUUAUCAGAUGCAUUCAGCGCAUAUAUAUAAUAUCUCACUGUCAC
rnacentral:misc_RNA from 1 species